rnacentral:rRNA from 1 species
AGUGAACGCUGGCGGUAGGCCUAACACAUGCAAGUCGAACGGCAGCACAGUAAGAGCUUGCUCUUACGGGUGGCGAGUGGCGGACGGGUGAGGAAUACAUCGGAAUCUACUUUUUCGUGGGGGAUAACGUAGGGAAACUUACGCUAAUACCGCAUACGACCUACGGGUGAAAGCAGGGGAUCUUCGGACCUUUCGCGAUUGAAUGAGCCGAUGUCGGAUUAGCUAGUUGGCGGGGUAAAGGCCCACCAAGGCGACGAUCCGUAGCUGGUCUGAGAGGAUGAUCAGCCACACUGGAACGGAGACACGGUCCAGACUCCUACGGGAGGCAGCAGUGGGGAAUAUUGGACAAUGGGCGGAAGCCUGAUCCAGCAAGACCGCGUGGGUGAAGAAGGACGUAGGGUUGUAAAGCCCUUUUGUUGGGAAAGAAAAGCAGCAGGAGAAUACCACGCUGUUCUGACGGUACCAAAAGAAGAAGCACCGGCUAACUACGUG